rnacentral:rRNA from 1 species
CAGUCGCCACGGUAAUACGUAGGUCCCGAGCGUUGUCCGGAUUUAUUGGGCGUAAAGCGAGCGCAGGCGGUUAGAUAAGUCUGAAGUUAAAGGCUGUGGCUUAACCAUAGUACGCUUUGGAAACUGUUUAACUUGAGUGCAAGAGGGGAGAGUGGAAUUCCAUGUGUAGCGGUGAAAUGCGUAGAUAUAUGGAGGAACACCGGUGGCGAAAGCGGCUCUCUGGCUUGUAACUGACGCUGAGGCUCGAAAGCGUGGGGAGCAAACAGGAUUAGAUACCCCGGUAGUCCCUGUCUCUUAUACA